rnacentral:rRNA from 1 species
CUACGUGCCAGCAGCCGCGGUAAUACGGAAGGUCCAGGCGUUAUCCGGAUUUAUUGGGUUUAAAGGGAGCGUAGGCGGAUUGUUAAGUCAGCGGUUAAAGGGUGUGGCUCAACCAUGCAUUGCCGUUGAAACUGGCGAUCUUGAGUGCAGACAUGGAUGCCGGAAUUCGUGGUGUAGCGGUGAAAUGCUUAGAUAUCACGAAGAACUCCGAUCGCGAAGGCAGGUGUCCGGGCUGCAACUGACGCUGAGGCUCGAAAGUGUGGGUAUCAAACAGGAUUAGAUACCCUGGUAGUCCACACAGUAAACGAUGUAUACUCGCGGUUUGCGAUAGACAGUAAGCCGCCAAGCGAAAGCAUUAAGUAUACCACCUGGGGAGUACGCCGGCAACGGUGAAACUCAAAGGAAUUGACGGGGGCCCGCACAAGCGGAGGAACAUGUGGUUUAAUUCGAAGCAACGCGAAGAACCUUACCAGGUCUUGACAUCCCUCKACCUCUCUAGAGAUAGAGAUUUC